rnacentral:rRNA from 1 species
UUGCACGCUGGCGGCAUGCCUUACCCCUGCAAGUCGCGCGGUAACGGGCCUUCGGGUGCCGACGAGUGGCGAACGGGUGAGUAAUACAUCGGAACGUGCCCGAUCGUGGGGGAUAACGAGGCGAAAGCUUUGCUAAUACCGCAUACGAUCUACGGAUGAAAGCAGGGGACCGCAAGGCCUUGCGCGGACGGAGCGGCCGAUGGCAGAUUAGGUAGUUGGUGGGGUAAAAGCUUACCAAGCCGACGAUCUGUAGCUGGUCUGAGAGGAUGAUCAGCCACACUGGGACUGAGACACGGCCCAGACUCCUACGGGAGGCAGCAGUGGGGAAUUUUGGACAAUGGGCGCAAGCCUGAUCCAGCCAUGCCGCGUGCAGGAUGAAGGCCUUCGGGUUGUAAACUGCUUUUGUACGGAACGAAAAGCCUUCUUUUAAUACAGGAGGGUCAUGACGGUACCGUAAGAAUAAGCACCGGCUAACUACGUG